GCCUACGGGGGGCAGCAGUGAGGAAUAUUGGUCAAUGGGCGCGAGCCUGAACCAGCCAAGUCGCGUGAGGGAAGACGGUCCUAUGGAUUGUAACCCUCUUUUGUCGGGGAGCAAAAGACGCCACGCGUGGCGUUCCGAGAGUACCCGAAGAAAAAGCAUCGGCUAACUCCGUGCCAUCAGCCGCGGUAAUACGGAGGAUGCGAGCGUUAUCCGGAUUUAUUGGGUUUAAAGGGUGCGCAGGCGGAAGAUCAAGGCAGCGGACAAAUUGAGAGGCUCAACCACU
rnacentral:rRNA from 1 species